rnacentral:rRNA from 1 species
CACCGCGGUUAUACGAAAGACCCAAGCUGAUAGAUGCCGGCGUAAAGAGUGGUUAAGUAUCUUGAUAGAACUAAAGCCGAACGCCCUCAAGACCGUUAUACGUUUCCGAAGGUAUGAAGCCCAACUACGAAAGUAACUUUAACUAUAUCCGACUCCACGAAAGCUGUGAAA